rnacentral:rRNA from 1 species
AUACGGAGGGUGCAAGCGUUACUCGGAAUCACUGGGCGUAAAGCGCGCGCAGGCGGCUAUUUAAGUUGGAUGUGAAAGCCUACGGCUCAACCGUAGAACUGCAUCCAAAACUAUUUAGCUAGAGUGUGGGAGAGGAAGAUGGAAUUAGUUGUGUAGGGGUAAAAUCCGUAGAGAUAACUAGGAAUACCAAAAGCGAAGGCAAUCUUCUGGAACACUUCUGACGCUGAGGCGCGAAAGCGUGGGGAGCAAACAGGAUUAGAUACCCCAGUAGUCC